rnacentral:rRNA from 1 species
GAUGAACGCUGGCGGCGUGCCUAAUACAUGCAAGUCGAGCGAACGGACGAGAAGCUUGCUUCUCUGAUGUUAGCGGCGGACGGGUGAGUAACACGUGGAUAACCUACCUAUAAGACUGGGAUAACUUCGGGAAACCGGAGCUAAUACCGGAUGAUAUUUUGAACCGCAUGGUUCAAAAGUGAAAGACGGUCUUGCUGUCACUUAUAGAUGGAUCCGCGCUGCAUUAGCUAGUUGGUAAGGUAAUGGCUUACCAAGGCAACGAUGCAUAGCCGACCUGAGAGGGUGAUCGGCCACACUGGAACUGAGACACGGUCCAGACUCCUACGGGAGGCAGCAGUAGGGAAUCUUCCGCAAUGGGCGAAAGCCUGACGGAGCAACGCCGCGUGAGUGAUGAAGGUCUUCGGAUCGUAAAACUCUGUUAUUAGGGAAGAACAUAUGUGUAAGUAACUGUGCACAUCUUGACGGUACCUAAUCAGAAAGCCGCGGCUAACUACGUG